rnacentral:rRNA from 1 species
GAUUCGGGGUGCACCAGGCGCGAAAACUUUGCAAUACACGAAAGUGUGACAGGGCUAUCCCGAGUGCCAUCCGCUGAGGAAGGCUUUUACCCAGUCUAGAACGCUGGGGGAAUAAGGAGAGGGCAAGUCUGGUGUCAGCCGCCGCGGUAAUACCAGCUCUCCGAGUGGUGUGGAUGUUUAUUGGGCCUAAAGCAUCCGUAGCUGGCUAGGUAAGUCCCUUGUUAAAUCCACCGAAUUAAUCGUUGGAUCGCGGGGGAUACUGCUUGGCUAGGGGACGAGAGAGGCAGACGGUAUUUUUGGGGUAGGGGUGAAAUCCUAUAAUCCCAGGAAGACCACCAGUGGCGAAGGCUGUCUGCUAGAACGCGCCCGACGGUGAGGGAUGAAAGCUGGGGGAGCGAACCGGAUUAGAUACCCGGGUAGUCCCAGCUGUAAACGAUGCAGACUAGGUGUUUGGACGGCCACGUGCCGUUCUAGUGCCGCAGGGAAGCUGUUAAGUCUGCCGCCUGGGGAGUACGAUCGCAAGAUUGAAACUUAAAGGAAUUGGCGGGGGAGCACAAUCACUAGUGAAU